rnacentral:rRNA from 1 species
CACGUAGGUGGGUCGUUAAGUCGGGGUGAAAUCCCAGAGCUCAACUCUGGAACUGCCUUCGAUACUGGCGACCUUCGAGUUCGGGAGAGGUGAGUGGAACUGCGAGUGUAGAGGUGAAAUUCGUAGAUAUUCGCAAGAACACCAGUGGCGAAGGCGGCUCACUGGCCCGAUACUGACACUGAGGUGCGAAAGCGUGGGGAGCAAACA